rnacentral:snRNA from 1 species
AUAGUUUACCUGGCAGGGGAAAUACCAUGAUCCAUUCGGCCUUGAAUGGCUCAGGGUAGUUAGGUGAGGGCCUAUCCCUUGCACUGUGGGCAGACAGACCUACAAAUGCUUUCAAAUGCAAGGAUCUUGGCUAUGCAAUUUAUGGCGAUGGGGGAUUGCUCUUGGGCUGUCCCUCU